rnacentral:rRNA from 1 species
AUGCGGGACCCUACGGGUGCCGCGUUCGGAAUGAGUACGAUUCGAACCACCUAACGAGGAACGAUCGGAGGGCAAGUCUGGUGCCAGCAGCCGCGGUAAUUCCAGCUCCAAUAGCGUACGUUAAAGUUGCUGCAGUUAAAAAGCUCGUAGUUGAACGUUCGGGUUCCGCGGGACGGGGCCGCCCCGCGAGGGACGGCGCCGCCCCGGGGCUCGUGAUAUCUUAUCUCGCCGCCCGUCGCGAGGCGGACGGAGGGAUGGAUGAGGUUACCUGGAAAAAAUCGGGGCGAUCUAGGCGGGCGAACCUCGCCAACGAACGAUCGGACAUGGGAUAACGGAAGAGGGCGUCGGCUCGACUUCGUCGGUUCCUCGGGCCGAGGCACGUACGGUGAAUAGGGACGGUCGGGGCCGCCCGUACCGGGUCGUGAGAGGUGAAAUUCUAGGAUCGACCCGAGACGAACUGCCGCGAAAGCAUUCGGCAAGGACGCUUUCAUUAAUCAAGAACGAAAGUCGGG